CCAGGAACUUGGUUAAAAAUGACUUAAAAGAAUUAUUAAUGAAUAAGUAAAAAUUUGAAAACUUAAAAUUUACUCAUACAAUAUUUUAAAAAAGACACAAAUCAAGGCAAUAAACAACAAAACUGAGGACAUCCUACGCACUACAAAAGGAGCAAGACUUGACAAGACUUCUCCUGCUAUACACGUAUCACCCGCCAUGCGAAU
rnacentral:lncRNA from 1 species